rnacentral:piRNA from 1 species
UUCCAUUCUUUUGGUGAACAUAUAAAGUU